rnacentral:rRNA from 1 species
AACGAACGCUGGCGGCAGGCCUAACACAUGCAAGUCGAGCGAGGACUUCGGUUCUAGCGGCGGACGGGUGAGUAACGCGUGGGAAUGUGCCCUUCUCUACGGAAUAGCCCUGGGAAACUGGGAGUAAUACCGUAUACGCCCUAUUGGGGAAAGAUUUAUCGGAGAAGGAUCAGCCCGCGUUGGAUUAGGUAGUUGGUGGGGUAAUGGCCUACCAAGCCGACGAUCCAUAGCUGGUUGGAGAGGAUGAUCAGCCACACUGGGACUGAGACACGGCCCAGACUCCUACGGGAGGCAGCAGUGGGGAAUCUUAGACAAUGGGGGCAACCCUGAUCUAGCCAUGCCGCGCGAGUGAUGAAGGCCUUAGGGUUGUAAAGCUCUUUCAGCUGGGAAGAUAAUGACGGUACCAGCAGAAGAAGCCCCGGCUAACUCCGU